rnacentral:rRNA from 1 species
AGAGAUGUGUGAUGACGCAUAUCAAUAAGCGGAGGAAAAGAAACUAACAAGGAUUCCCUUAGUAACGGCGAGUGAAGCGGGAAGAGCUCAAAUUUGAAAUCUUCAAGGUUCUACCUUGACGAAUUGUAGUUUAUAGAAGUGUUUUCUGUUAGUAGAGUGGCAAAAGUUCUUUGGAAUAGGACAUCAUAGAGGGUGAGAAUCCCGUAUUUGGUCAUUCUUUCUAGCUUUGUGAUACACUUUCAACGAGUCGGAUUGUUUGGGAAUGCAGUCCAAAAUGGGUGGUAAAUUUCAUCUAAAGCUAAAUAUUGGCGAGAGACCGAUAGCGAACAAGUACCGUGAGGGAAAGAUGAAAAGAACUUUGAAAAGAGAGUUAAACAGUACGUGAAAUUGUCAAAAGGGAAGCGUUUGACACCAGUGUUGUUUUUCCGAAAAUCAAUUACGAAUGUUUUGUUUUUGAGAAGUUAUGACUUCAUCGGCUUGCUUCUCUCUUUACGAAACUUUCUUAAUGCACUUUUCGGUUAACAAGUCAACAUCAAUUUCUUUUGUUGUAAAAGGGUAUGAGGAAGGUGGCUUUCUUUUCGGAGAAAGUGUUUAUAGCCUUGUACCUCUGCAAUCGGAGAGAUUGAGGUCUGCAGCGUAGAUCCUUCGGGGUUAGAUACAUUUGUGCUAAGUUAUAGCUUUUCAUAGACGACUUGUUGACUAUGUUAAGUCUUGUAGCUUACUCGCUUAUGCUAUUUUACCUACGCUUAGGAUGUUGAAGAUGUAGCACAUCAU